AGUGAACGCUGGCGGUAGGCCUAACACAUGCAAGUCGAACGGCAGCACAGUAAGAGCUUGCUCUUACGGGUGGCGAGUGGCGGACGGGUGAGGAAUACAUCGGAAUCUACUUUUUCGUGGGGGAUAACGUAGGGAAACUUACGCUAAUACCGCAUACGACCUACGGGUGAAAGCAGGGGAUCUUCGGACCUUGCGCGAUUGAAUGAGCCGAUGUCGGAUUAGCUAGUUGGCGGGGUAAAGGCCCACCAAGGCGACGAUCCGUAGCUGGUCUGAGAGGAUGAGAGGCGACACUGGAACUGAGACACGGUCCAGACUCGUACGGGAGGCAGCAGUGGGGAAGAUUGAGAAAGGGGCGAAAGGCUGACCGAGCAAUGCCGCGGGAGGGAAGAAGGUCUUCGGAUCGUACAACUUUUUGAUUAGAGAAGAAAAAAAGCGGAAGCAACCAUGGAUGUCGUGAGGGUACCUAAUGAGAAAGCCCGGGCUAACUUCGUG
rnacentral:rRNA from 1 species